AUUUAUUAGUACGUAUUUGUGAGUGAUUAAGUGAGUGAUUGCUGAGAGAUUGGUUGUGUGUAUUUGGUUCCCUGCUUCAUCAUCCCAUCGAGACACAAGAAAAGAGUGGCGAAGCUAAUACACACCCGAGUCUUGCCACCCCAUCGAAGGCAACGAAGCAGUGCCUCGCCAGCAUUGGCAUAGCUUCCAG